GAUGAAGAACGCAGCGAAAUGCGAUAAGUAAUGCGAAUUGCAGAAUUUCCGUGAAUCAUCGAAUCUUUGAACGCACAUUGCGCCCUUUGGUAUUCCUUAGGGCAUGCCUGUUCGAGCGUCAUUUGAAACCUCAAGCUCAGCUUGGUGUUGGGUGUCUGUCCCCGCCUCCGCGGGGACUCGCCUCAAAAUCAUUGGCGGCCGGUACGUUGGCUUCGAGCGCAGCAGAAACGCGAACUCGAGGCCCGGCGGAUCGGCGACCAGAAGUCUCUUCUUCACAGUUUGACCUCGGAUCAGGUAGGGAUACCCGCUGAACUUAAGCAUAUCAAUAAGCGGAGGA
rnacentral:misc_RNA from 1 species